rnacentral:tRNA from 1 species
GUUUGCCGUGGAAUGCCGAACAGAUUGUCGCGGCGUUGCAGGCGACGCGCGUGGUCGGGCGCCUCGAUCGUCGUUCGUUCGAAUGGAGCGGCAAGCGCC